UGUUACAACAAGCAUAGUCGCGUUUUACGGCAAGCAUGGGUUGCUGAAGACCUGUUCUACCCCGGAUCUUCACGGGUGUCAGGUGCAGAAACGAUAAAAGGUCCAAAUGCACGUUCGAGACUGAACUGCGCCACCCGAAUGCGCAAUACACACUGAACGUGGACCUGGAACGCAGUACACAACUACAGCGACGACCAAGGGCAGCGUGACCUGAACUUCGAACUGUGACAGGGGAAAAUGUCAACUACCUGGCGCCCCUUUAGGGCAUUGUACAUACUUCCGAGAAAUGACAUGACACGCCCGGCUUGAUCACAAGUAACAUGUC